rnacentral:rRNA from 1 species
AAAGGAAUUGACGGGGGCCCGCACAAGCGGUGGAUGAUGUGGAUUAAUUCGAUGCAACGCGAAAAACCUUACCUACCCUUGACAUGUCCGAGAUCCCGAAGAGAUUUGGGAGUGCUCGAAAGAGAAUCGGAACACAGGUGCUGCAUGGCUGUCGUCAGCUCGUGUCGUGAGAUGUUGGGUUAAGUCCCGCAACGAGCGCAACCCUUGUCAUUAGUUGCUACAUUUAGUUGGGCACUCUAAUGAGACUGCCGGUGACAAACCGGAGGAAGGUGGGGAUGACGUCAAGUCCUCAUGGCCCUUAUGGGUAGGGCUUCACACGUCAUACAAUGGUCGGUACAGAGGGUUGCCAACGCGCGAGCGGGAGCCAAUCUCAGAAAGCCGAUCGUAGUCCGGAUCGUAGUCUGCAACUCGACUACGUGAAGUCGGAAUCGCUAGUAAUCGCGGAUCAGCAUGUCGCGGUGAAUACGUUCCCGGGCCUUGUACACACCGCCCGUCACACCAUGGGAGCGGGUUUUACCAGAAGUAGCUAGGCUAACCGCAAGGAGGCCGGUUACCACGGUAGGAUUCGUGACUGGGGUGAAGUCGUAACAAGGUAACC